GACGAACGCUGGCGGCGUGCUUAACACAUGCAAGUCGAACGAUGAAGAAGAGAAACGCGAACUUCGGUUCAAAUUUCACUUCGGAUUAGUGGCAGACGGGUGAGUAACGCGUGAGCAACCUACCUCUUACAAAGGGAUAGCCUCGGGAAACCGUGAUUAAUACCAUAUGACACAUUCAUAAGGCAUCUUAAGAAUGUUAAAGCUACGGCGGUAAGAGAUGGGCUCGCGUCCCAUUAGCUAGUUGGUGAGGUAACGGCCCACCAAGGCGACGAUGGGUAACCGGCCUGAGAGGGUGAACGGUCACAUUGGAACUGAGACACGGUCCAAACUCCUACGGGAGGCAGCAGUGGGGAAUAUUGCACAAUGGAGGGAACUCUGAUGCAGCGACGCCGCGUGAGCGAUGAAGGAAUUCGUUUCGUAAAGCUCUGUUCUAUGGGAAGAAAAAGACUGUACCAUAGGAGAAAGCCCCGGCUAAAUACGUG
rnacentral:rRNA from 1 species